UACGUAGGGCGCAAGCGUUAUCCGGAAUUAUUGGGCGUAAAGAGCUCGUAGGCGGUUUGUCGCGUCUGCCGUGAAAGUCCGGGGCCUCGAACUCCGGUAUCUGCGGUGGGUACGGGCAGACUAGAGUGAUGUAGGGGAGACUGGAAUUCCUGUGUAGCGGUGAAAUGCGCAGAUAUCAGGAGGAACACCGAUGGCGAAGGCAGGUCUCUGGGCGAUAACUGACGCUGAGGAGCGAAAGCUGGGGAGCGAACAGGAUUAGAACCGUACCUC
rnacentral:rRNA from 1 species